GGGCUGAAAAGCAAACUAGUUUGAAACAAAAUUCAUCUGAGCUCUGGAAGGGAUGUUGUUGCGGAAGGAAUUGGUAAGUGACUCUCAAAUAGGCAGUGCUGGUGAUUGACCUUUGGCCUGGAAAAAUAAACUUUUAUUAUUUUACUUCCAUUCUGAGCUUCUCUGUGCACGUCACUUACCAAUUCCUUCCACAAUGUCAACUCUCGUCUUUCUUCCAUCCUUGUUCCUCAGUGUCUGCUGGUUGAUGUCUAGAGAAGAGUUCACAACAACCUAAUGUUUCCUAGAGGAUCUGGCCUUUAAGGUAGAAGUGAACUUCAGGCAAGGCCCUUCACUGCAUUUGCUGUUUCCCAGGGGCCCUCAGAUGAAAGUCCAAAGGGCCAUAUCUUGGGGUGUCAUAUGCCAUAUUCAUCAAAUGAAUAGCCUGAUCCAGAUAAGACUUUGUUCCAGGGAUCUCAACUUUUACAUGCAAGCAGACUUCAUUUCACC
rnacentral:lncRNA from 1 species